AAGUCGUAACAAGGUUUCCGUAGGUGAACCUGCGGAAGGAUCAUUACCUUUCAGUACAGAAGCGUUGUGUUGGUUGAGUUGUGCCGGUUGAGUCUCGCUGACAAGUUGGAUUCCUGGUGGCAACUCCCUUCAUAAUUCUCCCUGUCUAUCAUCCUUGUCUUUUGCGUACUAUUGUUUCCUCGGUGGGCUUGCCCACCGGUUGGACAACCUUAUAACCUAUUUAAUUUUCAAUCAGCGUCUGAAAUAAUAUAAUAAUUACAACUUUCAACAACGGAUCUCUUGGUUCUG
rnacentral:misc_RNA from 1 species